ACAUGACAUAGAGUGGAGGGCAUAUUUCUCAGUAGCCAAAUCAAAUGGGAAUCUAACUAAGGGAUUGGCCUCGCGAUCAUAGUGCGGUAACCCGGCACCUGGGGUUGGACUUGUCUGUGUCAAACCAUUGUUGUACGCUUGGGCUGCAAAAUCGAACUACCACUUAUCUUCAACCCGAUCUUAACUCAACAACGUGUCGUUUCCAACAGAUAGUCUUUGGAAACAGCAUACGGAAAGGCCCAAUUUGUAUCGAGAUCUAACGACCAUAAGUGUAUGCGAGAAAAUGCACAUCUGAACACCAGAAGCACGCCAACAUGGCAAUCCAUGUGCAUCCGUAUUCUUUAUUUCUUUUCUUCUUCUUUUUUUGGGUGAAAAAAAGACAACAAGCUUUAUUUCCUUUCUUCCCUAAGGUUUCAAUCAAUUCUCG
rnacentral:lncRNA from 1 species